rnacentral:rRNA from 1 species
GUGGGGAAUAUUGGACAAUGGGCGCAAGCCUGAUCCAGCCAUGCCGCGUGAGUGAUGAAGGCCUUAGGGUUGUAAAGCUCUUUCAGUGGGGACGAUAAUGACGGUACCCACAGAAGAAGCCCCGGCUAACUUCGUGCCAGCAGCCGCGGUAAUACGAAGGGGGCUAGCGUUGUUCGGAUUUACUGGGCGUAAAGCGCACGUAGGCGGAUCGUUAAGUCGGGGGUGAAAACCUGGAGCUCAACUCCAGAACUGCCUUCGAUACUGGCGAUCUUGAGUCCGGAAGAGGUGAGUGGAACUCCUAGUGUAGAGGUGGAAUUCGUAGAUAUUAGGAAGAACACCAGUGGCGAAGGCGGCUCACUGGUCCGGUACUGACGCUGAGGUGCGAAAGCGUGGGGAGCAAACAGGAUUAGAAACCCGGGUAGUCC